ACGCCCGCCGGCCGCCCGCUCCGCUCAUUGGCCCGGCGCGGCGGGGGGCGUGGCCCGGCGCGCGCCGGGGCCGGGGGCCGCGUUGCUGGGCAACCGCAGCGCGGAGCCCCCGCCGUCUCCAUAGCAACCGCAGCGCGGCGGGGGAGGCCGAGCGGGCGCGAGGGGCGCCGGGAAGGCCGGGCUGGGCCUGCGCCCGCGCUGCCCGGGCACGCGCUGGUCCUAGGCCGCACACCGACCUGGAGCGGUUGAGGAUCCCCCAGGAACCACGUCCGUGUAAACCGCGACCACUCAGGCCGUUUUCCUAGGGGCCGGGGAUAACCGCUUUUCUGCGCGGGGUAGUGCCGCGGAGGAACUGAAAGAACUGGAAAAAAAAAAAAUCACUAGGAAAAAUGGACCCUGUAAAGACCCACUGGGGAAUACUUGGCUUCUAAUCAGGCUGGGCAUGACCUGAGGGACUACUGCAGGCCUGACAUGCAAGCCUAAUGCUAACACUGAAGUGCUGUGCUACAAGGGGAUAAGAAUCUAACCGGAGGUGUUGGACAUACAUUAUCUGAUCUAGUCCCAUCACGCUGCAAACACACACGAGGAAGAGGAGAAACGCAGCACCGAUGGGAGCAUUGUCCUUUUCAUGAAAUACUAGGACAAAUGAGCUACUUAGUGCAUCUUCACUGACAUCAAGUGACAACCCUAGAGCUGAAUUUGGCUUUCAUGCAGAAAUCCUUUCUGCCUGUCCAACUGAAUGUGGAAAAUGUCAGAGUCCAUCUGAAAAAAGAAAUCCCUCUCCAGCUAGAAGCAGAACUACACUAAUCAAUUAAAUGUUACUGGGCUAAAUGAUACAAAUAAGUAUGCAUAAACUGAAUUAGCAAUACAGUUGGUGCUAUGACUCCCUAACUCCAAUAUAAACAAAGUAUUGUAGGUUAUUACUUAGUAACAAUUAAUUCACAAACAGUACACAAGAAUAAAGUAUAUGUGUAGGGCAUAUGACUUAAAAAUGGUAGUCUUGCUCUGUGUGAUUCUGCCUCUCUGCUCAUUCAAAUUGCUUAAUUUUUUAAAGUUUCCCAGACAUGAGCACAAGCAGUUAAAGACACAGACCUGGAUAAGAAAAUCUUGAAGCAUGCAUGCAUUUAGAUGUUAUGUGAAACACAUGACCUGAGAGGGUUUGGUUUUUCUUUUUAGACUCUGGCCUGAAACUCUAUUAACUUUCAGAUUUCCUUUUGGCAAGAAAACAAAUCCUGUGAAGUAGCAGAGAUGCUCUUGUGCAAGUACAUGCAGAGGCUGGCUUGGAAGCUCUGCGACACACGGCCACGGUCUCUCUGCAGCAGUUACAUAUAAGCAGUGUUGCACAGUAGCCGCCUCUCCACUCCCCAGUUAAAUGGCUCCCAGGGAGGGUGUGCUAACCCACAAACUCACCACGGUAAGCCAUGACAUCCUCAAACCCUCAGAAAAGAUGGAUCGAGGGGAUGAUGACAGAUGCUGUUAGUAAUGCUUGGUGUGGGCACCCUCCUGGAGAGGAGUCAUGAAGCUGCGUACAUUGUGCUGUGGGCAGUGAUGAGCAUGCACAGCAUAAAUGCAGCUACACUGCUUCUGGAACAGGAAUUAGUUUAUGCAGAGCAGCAUGGCAUGCUUGGAGAUGCCCUACCUGGCACAGCAACUCUGCGGUAUAGAUAUGUUUAGGGAAUUUUUUUUUCCUGUAAAUGCUUCCUGUUUUCUGUCCCAGAGGCUUGUUUAUAACCCAGGUACAAGAUCUGUGGUAGGCAGUCCUUCUGAAUGCAAGGCUCUAGUCAAGGAGAUAUUUUAACAAAGAAUUGUAUAGUCUUCUUACUGGUUUAGAUUAUCUGUAUGCCAGAAUGCUCUAAACUGUAUUAAAUGACUAGUCAUGUCUCACCCUU